CAAAACAGUAAAACAAUGACUGUGUGAUUCAACGGUCUAGCUUUGCCUCUUUAUUUUCGUCGGUGCGGCUACAGGACAAAGAGCAGAAGGGACGUUUGGACCUACUGCCAGCAGGCUGUAACAGACAGAUGGGUUUUCACACAAACAACAGAAAACAUCAAGAGCAGUGAAGCUGGCACACACAGAAGAAGAAGCAGCAAAGGGGAGAAAGUUUGGAUAAUGAGGCACUGCUAGCAGGAGAUGAUAAUUCACUUUGUGCUGUGAGAAGACAAACUGUCCACUCUGUGUAGAGUUCAACUCCAUAGCUGCAAAGCCAUAUGGAUAUUCUGUACACAAAGUAUGAUCUGACUGAAGUGAAAUAUAAUAACCAGCAGAUGGCGGGCAAGCGUCAGAAUCCUGUUGAUAUCAGAACCACACAUCAAUGAAGUUUUGCAAGCAAAGGACAAUACCAAGAGAGACUGCAAAGAGGCAGCUGAUUUACACUUCACGUUCUGAUUGCACUUCUCAUCCUUUCAUCUCCAAAUAUCCUUCAGAUCUUUAUUGUAUAGGUGGCGGCACAUUGGCACCAUAUGCUCAGCUAUUUCCAUCAAUGCUGCCAUUAAGCCUCUAUUUUGUUUAAUCUCUGUUCUGAAUCCAGCACUCCUUUCACCCAAACACUGAAUAAUCCAUCCUGAUUGGCCAUUCAGGGGGGUCAUUAUUUCUAGGUCUAGGAUUUGGGACUCCUAUUUCACGUCACUGACACUCUGUUAUGUUCAUGUCAUCGUCUGGCGGCCGCAGCUUAUGAUGGGAUUUAUUUGGAGACAAAUUCAUGAAAUAUGAAAUAUGUCAUGCUGUGGGUUAGUCUUUUUAUAAUUGCAUUCAAAACUAUUGCUGAGACAUAAGACUGUGAUAAUAAUAGUAAAAAUUCUGUUAGAAAAAGGUUUAUUGCUGCUGAUUUUCUUAUUAAAAUGUCAUUUAAAUUUGUAAGUACAAAAAGGACAAGCAUUUUAAUAUCUGUCGAGUUCAAUUUGCACUUUUAGGGAUUAAUAUAUUGUAAUGUAAAAGAUUUCUCGAUUACUAAAUUGUUUGGCAUCUGGCAAUGAGAUGAAUUGUGAUGUUACAAAUGUGGGUGGAGUCACACAUACACACCAUAUGUAGACAUUCUGGAUGGUCUUAGUAGGAAAUGGAGUUCUAGAAACGACGAAAUGGAGAGAAUGACCUUUGAGAUAGUAAGGAGGAUUUUGUUUAUUGCCCUACAUUGACUGCUAACAGGACAGCUGUGAUUAUACAAGUUGCUGUACCUAAGAAGAAUUAUUGCCCAUUAAACAAAGCAUCAUCACCUGAAUUCAUCUGCUUUCAAACACUGCAUACCGUCCCUCUC